rnacentral:ncRNA from 2 species
AAUUUUGCGGCCGUAAAUGGUUCUUUUAGUUGUAUGAACAUACAAUUGGAUUAAAAGGGAAUGCAGUGAAAAUCUGCAACAGUUCCCGCUGCUGUAAGUCCACCUCCGGUAUUCCGGAAACAAGGGGUUUUUAAACUUCUGCCACUGUUUGUCAUCAGAUGAAUGGGAAGGCAUAAAAACCUGGACAAGUCAGAAGACCUGCCAUUACUUAAUAUUUUAA